CCUCUGGGUUGGAAGGUCAGAUGGCAGUCGCUUUCAAAAACUAGUGCCUACGUCAAUUCUUGGGAUUAGUUGUCAAGCGGACCCCAGGCUCCCAUGAGCCGUGGCAAAAUGCCGGGACAACGCGAGGAA